CCCUUAGAUGUUCUGGGCCGCACGCGCGCUACACUGAUGCAUUCAACGAGCCUAUCCUUGACCGACAGGUCCGGGUAAUCUUUGAAUCUGCAACGUGACGGGGAUAGAUUAUUGCAAUUAUUAAUCUUCAACGAGGAAUGCCUAGUAGGCGCAAGUCAUCAGCUUGCGUCGAUUACGUCCCUGCCCUUUGUACACACCGCCCGUCGCUCCUACCGAUUGGGUGUGCUGGUGAAAUGUUCGGAUCGGCCGUUUGUCGCGGUUUCCGCGUCAUGUGGCUGAGAAGUUCAUUAAACCCUCCCACCUAGAGGAAGGAGAAGUCGUAACA
rnacentral:rRNA from 1 species